rnacentral:rRNA from 1 species
AUGGAGUACGUCCGGUCCGUGGACCUGCUGCCCGUCCUCGGCCCCAAAGCCCGGGCCACUGGCCUCGUCGCCGGGCUCGACUCUAGGGACUGGGUCAUGGUCUGCGAGGCCCUCAACGACGCGCGCUGCCUCACCAUCCACCACCCCGUCCUCCUCGCCCCCAUCUUCAUCGGGAGGUGGAAGUGUGCAGCGUUGCCGGGGAUAGUCCCACUCUCAUACCAGCUGCGCAAGCAGCCUGCACCGGCGCCGAAGUGGUGUUUGAUUGAGAAAUGCCCCCCUUUCCUGUGCUUAGAUAUGCCCACUAAGCAACCAGAAGAAGCUGCAAUGAUGGAGAUCACACGCUCCUUCGACCAGCCAUGGCUAGCCUCCGUCUUCGGCCCCUCCAACCUCGCCCCCGACCUCGCCUGCUGCUCCUUCGACCACACACUCCGCUGCGAGGUGAGCUCCCCUGUCCUCUCUGCGCGAUCCAUGCCAGAUCCUCAGUCUGGAUACAUGUGCAGUAGAUAG